AAUGCAGCUCAAAAUGGGUGGUAAAUUUCAUCUAAAGCUAAAUACCGGCCAGAGACCGAUAGCGCACAAGUAGAGUGAUCGAAAGAUGAAAAGCACUUUGGAAAGAGAGUCAAACAGUACGUGAAAUUGUUGAAAGGGAAGCGCUUGCAACCAGACCUGCCCUCGGGCGAUCAGCCGUUAUUCUUAGCGGUGCACUCGUCCUUGUUCAGGCCAGCAUCGGUUCGGGCGGCCGGAUAAAGGCCCCGGGAAUGUAGCUCCCCUCGGGGAGUCUUAUAGCCCGGGGUGCAAUGCGGCCAGCCCGGACCGAGGACCGCGCUUCGGCUAGGAUGCUGGCAUAAUGGUUGUAAGCGACCCGUCUUGAAACACGACCCAGGAGUCUAACAUCUAUGCGAGUGUUUGGGCGUCAAACCCACGCGCGGAAUGAAAGUGAACGGAGGUGGGAGCCGGCGCACCAUCGACCGAUCCAGAUGUCUUCGGAUGGAUUUGAGUACGAGCAUAGCUGUUGGGACCCGAAAGAUGGUGAACUAUGCCUGAAUAGGGUGAAGCCAGAGGAAACUCUGGUGGAGGCUCGCAGCGGUUCUGACGUGCAAAUCGAUCGUCAAAUUUGGG
rnacentral:rRNA from 1 species